GGCACGUGGAAAGGACAGGCAUCUGCUGUAGAGCAUGAGGAAUUCCACUCAUUAUUCCGCGAUAAACAUUCCGUGAUAACCUACAUUCCGCGAUAACCUACAUUCCGUGAUAACCUACGUGGGAAUGGAGUAUGUGUAUAUGUAUGUACUUGAAUCACUUUGCUGUAAAGCAGAAAUCAACACAUCAUUGCAAAUCAACUAUACUUCAAUAAAAAUUUUUAAAAAGAAAGAGAAUAUUGUCAGUAUACCUGCUCUGCACCGGGAGUUGGAAUAGAAUACUUUCCUUACAGACCCUGCAACGUUGGAAUGACCACAUACUUGGUCAACUUUACCUAAAUCUCUCGCUAGCUGUUGUGAUGGUUAAUUUUUUCUGCAUUUUGACACCAUACAGUGGUGUCAAAAAUGAACACAGUCACUGCUUUAAUUAAAAGUCCAGUACGUUGGGAGACAGGAAGUUUAAAUGAGCAGGAAUUGGAUGGAUGGCAUUUGAAAGAGUAUCAACCAGGCAAAGUGAAGAGCAUGGAUAAGAUCCCGCUAAAGGCAAGGGUUUCCUGUGACCAAGAAAAAACAACAAGAGGCCAUUGUGUUAGGACCAAGGCAUGAUGGAUUUUGGAGAAGCUUCGCCUUCUAAAAUGCCAGCUGCAGGACCAGAGGCUUCCUGCUGCAGGAAGGUCCUGCAUCCAUAGCCUACGUGUGAUGAGAAGCCAUGGGAAGUUUGGGGUCGUCGAGAGGGAUGAACGUAUCUCAGGAAGAAGUGAGGGGCCUGCUCUGCGAGGGCUGCGUUUGAGGAUGCUCUGUGGGGCGGGGCGGCUGGGAUGAGGGGGAAGGGGAGGCGGGGAACAAAUCCAGCUUGGAGGUGAACGUGGAGAAUGCGGGAAGGUCAGGAGGAGGACGGCCAGGCGUGAAAACCUAAAGGACCCUGACCCCAAAGCAAAGGGCCUGGGGGGGGGUGAGCUCUCUGAGACACUGAAGGUCUGAGGAUACCUAUCCCCCUCACCUGAGAGCUGAGGAGCGUAACUUCUAAGGGGAAAACUGUCUCCUUUCAGAACUCGAAAGCUGCAUCUCAUUGGACUCCCAGCUUCCGGUGUUUGGGAAGCAUGAGGGACUUCGAUUUUAACUUCUCCUCCAAAGUCCAUUGAGGUGGAGAAGAAUGAAUUUGUUUUGAUUUCUCUGUCUCUGUAGGAAACUUGCUUUUAUUUCUGUAAGGUAUUAGUUUUUUCUUCCCCCUUGGUAUUUUCAGAUUUCACAAAGGGAAAUCUUUUUUUUUUUUUUAUAAAGGUUUUGUAAAGGUUAAAAGCAUAUGGAGGUUCCCAGGCUAGGGGUCGAAUCAGAGCUGCAGCUGCCCACCUACACCGCAGCCACAGCAACCCCGGAUCCUUAACCCACUGAGCGAGGCCAGGGAUCGAACCCACGUGUCCUCAUGGAUGCUACCCAGGUUCAUUAACCACUGAGCCAUGACAGGAACUCCGGAUUUCACAAAUGGAAAUCUUCAUUUAGAUCAUUUCAUUCAAUCUGUGGGAUGCCGAGUAAAAUUUCAAGACAGCAUUGUUGAGUUCUAUUCCAGCAUUUUUUCUGGUACUAUUUUCUUAACACAUUUGUCUCCAUCAUUUUACACAGACAGAGGGAUGAUAUGUAGGAUUUUGCACACAAUUGCUUGCUUUUAUUUUAUUUUAGUUACAUUUGAAAAACAUUUCUCUUCUCUUUGUUUUUACACUGAUUCAGAGAAAAUUUCCUGCCCUUACCGUCAAACCCUGGUAUUGGCUUCCUUCUUCUAAAGUCCCAUGUGCCAUGAUUUUUCCUUUUUCCUGCUGCCUGUUUUCACUUGGUGGACGCAAUCUUCCCUCUCCAUCUUCUGGGCUUUUUUUUUUUUUUUUUUUUUUUUUUGUCUUUUUGUUUGUUUUUGUUUGUUUGUUUUAACCCUCGGCAUAUGGAAGUUCCCAGGCUAAGGGUUGAAUCAGCUGUCGCUGCCAGCCUACCCCACAGCCACAGCAAUGCAGGAACCGAGCUGCGUCUGUGACCUACACCACAGCUCACGGCAACACCAGAUCCUUAACCUGCUGAUCGAGGCCAGGGAUCGAACCUGCAACCUCAUGGAUACUAGUCGGGUUCAUUACUGCUGAGCCAGGAUACUCCAUCUUCUGGGCAUAUUAAUUGUAGAUUGUUUUACUCCCUUGGUUCUCAGGCUGCCCUGGAUUUUCCCUUCAUAUUUUCCAACUUCAUUUCCAGAGCUGAAUGCCAGCGUCUGGCCCCUUUCACUAAUGAGGCUGCGGUGUUUCCUAUGGGCUCCUUUUUUUGCAACUGUAGCUGUUUUGCGGUGAAGAUGGAGAGAGCGGUUGACCUGAGAAGUCACAACGUGCAGUUCUUCCAAUUUCACUUUCCAAGUUUCAACUCUCCCUCUGUUUCCCUGUGCUUCAAACAGAUCCACUGAAUGAUUCAUUUAAUAAAUUGUUCACAUGCCCGCUCCUGUCCUCUCCCUUAACCUGAAGCCCGAGGCGCUUUGAACAAACCAGUGAUGCUCAUUUUUUGUUUUAAUUUUUAGUAGUCCUCUUUAAAUGACUCGCACUACAAAUAAAGUGUAAAAUGCGACAACGAUUUGUGCUAUGGCAUCUUUGAAAGGAUGAAGGUUAAGAGGGGACGAUGGGUCCUUGUUGAAUUCAAUUUUGCCUGGCGUCAUUUGCCAGAAAAUAAAUGAAGGCUAAAUUAAGUGUCAUUUAAAGGGUACGCUGUUCUUGACGGUCGGUGAGGGGACGGAGCAGGUUAAAAGCAAAAUUGAUCCUUUCCCAUAAAAAUCAAAAGAGUUUUCAUAUUUUGUGUUUGUGCCGUGUUAGCAAGGAAAUGAUUGGCAGUCGGCCGUGGGCUGAAUCCAUGGAUGCAGGGCUUUGUCAGAUGCAAAAGUCAAUGGUUUAUGUUUACGGAGACAAUUGGGUUAAGGAAACCCUUCCCAGAAUGGAUUUUGCCGACGUUAUUCAUUGCAGCACUCAGUGCUCCCCUGGAAAUGCCAGCUAUCUGUUCUGUUCGCGUUUAUCACCAGUUUUCCAUUUUGUAGCGAAGAACACUUACAAAUUGGUAUUUACUUGUGUUUGGAGGAUUUAGAGAGAAUGCAUAAUCCCCCAAGAAAAGAAAAUGAGUCACUGUUAUGAUGUAUCUUUGUUGGUGGGUUUCGUCUUCCUGUUUGGAUUUCAGACACUACUUUAAUUCUCUAUCGGCUGUAGUUUUUUUCUUUCUCAUAGCAAAGAGAAAUAAGCCUAUUUGCUAUAAUUAAAAAUAAACCUGGUCGAGUAUGUGUAUUUUCUUCCGGGCCAAUCAGAGAUGUAAACCACCCAAACUGCUCUGACUGGUGGGACUUCUUUUCUUACAAAAGACUUCAAAAUAGAGGCCGUUUUGUUUUAAUUCUAUGGUAUUAAGAGAAUAUCAUGGAUUUUUUGAAGCUAUUCAAUUUGUUUAUGCUUGGCAAAAAAACCCAACAUUUCUGAUUUCAGCAUCUCCCCCCAUGUGCCACAAUAUUCCUAGCUGUGGUCUUGGAUUCCCAUCAUUUCAAAAUUUAUAUGCAUUUGCUAAUCAUUUGCAUUUUUUUCUAUGGUUGUUGUCUAAUCACAUAGUUAGCUCAUUUACCCUGAGAGAUUCCUGGGUUGUUGGGUUUUUUUAAUGUGCAUUUCUCUAUAUUUCUCAGUUUUACUUUUGUUUUUCUAAUCUUUUUGUUUCAGAUGUGCUUUUUGUGAUUUUUAACUUUUUAUUAAAGUAUGGUUAAUUUCUGCUGUACAGCAAAAGUGACUGCCACACACACAUAUUUACAGCUGAAUAAGCUAAGCAAGCCAGACCGACCUCGUCAGCUCCGCCAGGCCUGGUUUCCUAUCCCAGGCUUAUUCCAGACAACGCGCAGCCAACCCUCCUUACAUCUUGGCAGGUCGGGGAUGGGCACGGGACUUACCCUGGCCUAAAAUGUCUGAACUGAGUUCUCUUCUGUGCUCAGGAGGAGCAGUGUCUGUCUCCCCCUGAAUGCCAUAGUGCUUUGCACCAGCGGAGUUCUUUCCACGUUUGAUUGUUCGCCUGUUGAUCUGAUUUCUAUUGUUGACAAAAUGAAGAGUUCAGGCAAGUUGUUUUUAUUAACUCUUCCACAUGCUGAAUUUGUCUACUUCUUUCUCGUACUGAGACUCGUGUCGCACGUUUUCGGGAAGAACACGCCGUAUGUGAUGGGGGUGUUUUUGCAGAGUUAGGGGGUCGCCAAGGUCAUCCUCACUUCCGACCCCACUUGCAAGUUCUGGAUGCUUGAGACCACUGUCAGGUUCGAUCCUUCGCCAGAACCCACAGAACUCACACUGAAGGCUGUAGUGACCCUCAAUCACAGUUUAUUGCAGGAUAAAGAUUCAGAUCAGCCAAAGGAAGAGGCAUAAGGCAGCGUCAGGAAACCCCCAGGCACAGAAUCUCCAGCUGCCCCCUCCCAGCGUGCCCACCUUGCCAGGAUAAUCUGCUUAUUUCCGUGCAUCCCUUCCAAUUGAAUGUCGGAAGCCACAUCAUAUUAGCCCAGGGUCUCCGAACUAUGUCCUUUGGGGGAAAAUAAAGAACAUGACUCAUCGCUGUGUCAUUAUCAGAGCAAAAUUUUCUUCUUUGAGUUGAGUAAGUUCUCUUCCUAGGAUUAUAAUAAAUUGUACACAAAAUACUUCAGAGAACGUAGACACCACGCACACAAUGCCUCCAAGAGAAUGUAUCCUCAGUAACGUAAAGGCAGGGCAGACGUUCUGUUCAGAUCCAUAAUGUCCUUGGCCAAGUGUUUGCCCAGUACGACCAGAAGGAGGUACAUUUUUCCUGCCUCGUUCUACAUUGUUUCCGGCAACUUUACCUCUUCUCUUUUCCAGCCUCCCUAACUUGAUCUAUAUUUCUUUCAAUGAAAUAUAGGAAUAAUCUCAUUUACUGCCCGCUGGCAUGCCAACUACAUUUUAAAAUAAAAGCUUUUUUUUUUUGCAUGCAAGCAUGUCUUUUUAUGGUUGGAUAGAAGUUCAGUGAAAGCUUAAGGACAUCUUAUUUUUGGUGCUCCCAUUGUGGCUCAGUGGUAAUGCACCCCAACUAGUAUCCAGGAGGACACGGGUUCAACCCCUGGUCUCGCUCAGCGGGUGGAGGAUCCAGUGUGGCCAUGAGCUGUGGUGUAGGUCACAGACGCGCCCCGCAGAUCCGGCAUUGCUGUGGCUGUGGUGUAGGCCGGCAGCUGCAGCUGCGCUUAGACCCCUGGACUGGGAACUUCCAUGUGCUGCAAGUGCAGCCCUAAAAAGAAAAAAGAAAAAAA
rnacentral:lncRNA from 1 species